AAACAUUAUGUUUAGAUAAACUAAAUUUUAAAAUUGAUACGGACAAAAGUCAGGGCUAAAUACACCAAAGAAAUAAUAUGCAAGUUGUUUGAGUACAAGCUUACAUCAAGGAGAGAGUUGACGAAAGAAAAAAAAGGCCAAAGAAUGAAGAACAGCGAGUCUGUGGCCGUGAUUACUAUCCAGAGAGUGACCCUGGUCUGUCUCCAUAAAAACUACAAAACACUCGGGAUAAAGUCGAGCAAUGGACGAGGAUCAGUCUGCAGAGGAGACUACAUUCGUUGUGGACGAGACUACCACAGUAAUCAAAGAAGAAACAAUCUACUACAUGACCUCACUGUGUAGAUAUGAAUUCAAUCUUCAACUAUCGAUUCAAUUACUUUGACCGUAUGAGUGAAAACUUCGAAUUGUAAAUUAAAUUAUAAAUGUCAUACUUUGCAGUAAUCACUAGUAUUAUGGGGGUCUUUUGACAACAGACUGUUGAAAGCACCUUUGGAAACCGCUCUUAGCGUCAGUAAAAUCAACCAAUGUCAAGCAUUGUAGUCAAGCCUAAGCCAGCUAACUAAAUUAGGAAAGCCUUUCAAGUACAUGGGUAUGGUAACAGGCCAUUUAAACUACAGUAAUACAAAUGUAAAGGUAUGGAACCUGUAAUUUCCCCCCAAAUUCAUUCUCUUCUGUUUUUUCACCGAGUGACAUGAUUCUUACUACAAAAAAAAUGGGGCAGGUUUGCACACUGCCGGCUCAUGUUUCUGGGACAACAGUAUUGAUGGGAGUUGCAUGGUACCACGGGAGAAUGAAAGCCUAUACUGCAUAGUUAGAGUUUUUGGGGUUGCCAUUUGAGGAUGAAUAUCAACAUGUAGGCUUUUAAGAUUACCAAACAUUUUUGUAAGACUCAUAAACAACGAAU